rnacentral:rRNA from 1 species
UGGGGAAUAUGGCGCAAUGGGCGAAAGCCUGACGCAGCGACGCCGCGUGAGGGAUGAAGGUUUUCGGAUCGUAAACCUCUGUCAGAAGGGAAGAAACCGCACUGUGCUAAUCAGCAGUGCCUUGACGGUACCUUCAAAGGAAGCACCGGCUAACUCCGUGCCAGCAGCCGCGGUAAUACGGAGGGUGCAAGCGUUAAUCGGAAUUACUGGGCGUAAAGCGCACGUAGGCUGCUUUGUAAGUCAGGGGUGAAAUCCCACGGCUCAACCGUGGAACUGCCUUUGAUACUGCUUAGCUUGAAUCCGGGAGAGGGUGGCGGAAUUCCAGGUGUAGGAGUGAAAUCCGUAGAUAUCUGGAGGAACAUCAGUGGCGAAGGCGGCCACCUGGACCGGUAUUGACGCUGAGGUGCGAAAGCGUGGGGAGCAAACAGG